UGUUAGGCAGCACCUAGCUGUUUCCCACCCAUUUACUUUUAUUCAUGCAUCAGUUACUCAACCAGUCAGUUAACAAAUAUUUCCCACAAGCCAUGGACCACAAAACUGGAUCUAGAGACACGUACAAGGCUUAAUCUUCGCUCACAAGAACAUCAUUGUUCAGUACCAUCCAGGAAGGCUGUUCUCUUGUGUCCUGGAUGCCAUGGCCUGAAUGUUGGUGUCCCUGCAAAAUUGCUGUGCUGAAAUCCAACUCCUAAGUUCUGGGGGUUCAUGCACAGAUUUCUUACCUGGG
rnacentral:lncRNA from 1 species